rnacentral:rRNA from 1 species
AGUGAACGCUGGCGGUAGGCCUAACACAUGCAAGUCGAACGGCAGCACAGUAAGAGCUUGCUCUUACGGGUGGCGAGUGGCGGACGGGUGAGGAAUACAUCGGAAUCUACUUUUUCGUGGGGGAUAACGUAGGGAAACUUACGCUAAUACCGCAUACGACCUACGGGUGAAAGCAGGGGAUCUUCGGACCUUUCGCGAUUGAAUGAGCCGAUGUCGGAUUAGCUAGUUGGCGGGGUAAAGGCCCACCAAGGCGACGAUGCGUAGCUGGUCUGAGAGGAUGAUCAGCCACACUGGAACUGAGACACGGUCCAGACUCCUACGGGAGGCAGCAGUGGGGAAUAUUGGACAAUGGGCGCAAGCCUGAUCCAGCCAUACCGCGUGGGUGAAGAAGGCCUUCGGGUUGUAAAGCCCUUUUGUUGGGAAAGAAAAGCAGCAGGUUAAUACCCCGCUGUUCUGACGGUACCCAAAGAAUAAGCACCGGCUAACUUCGUG